rnacentral:lncRNA from 14 species
UUAGAUAUUGCGUCUGAAGGGAGGGAACACAGACAGUGAGCAAGCCCAACCUUGUGACAAGCCUCAAACCAAGCUUAAUGAGCCAAGCGAGAGACCUGCUCUGUGUCACUGUGUCUUGAAGUAGCUGAGAAAAUAGGUCUGAAAGCACAGCUGAUACCAACACCCUUAUCCCAGACUCUGCACUAACUCAACACUGACUGAAAGGGCACCACACUCGUCACUGUCCUUCCUCAUCUUUAAUGGAAGGAGGAUCACUUGGCUUACUGUGCCAGUUCUCUUUGAUGCAGUCUUCGUGAGUACAGAAAGCCCAUACAGCAACCCGUAACUUGAUCUACAAGCUGUAAGUGGAAACUUUUUGGAACAAGUUCCUUGAGCCUGACAAUGACUGCAUUGAUCGCGUUAUUGAGAACAGGAGCCUGCUCUUUCACAUUCACAGAAAUAAUGGGAAAGUGGUGGAUAGCAGCCAUGUAGGACCAGCCUUGUGUCCUGGACUGAAUCCAGAGUAAACAAGCACCCUGAUGGAAAUGCUCCAUAAACACCCAGAAUCUGGAGACAUUCUUAACUUGCAGGAUGCCAAGUUUUUUCUGUGAAGAAAAAAAAGCCCUAUUCUAUUUGACAUGAAGCUAUUUUAUUGGAUGAAAGAUUUAGAUAUGGAAAAUUUCAAGCAAAUUAUUUUAUGAAGAGAGUUGGGGAGUUCUAUGCAGAUGUUUAAAAAAUAUUUGUUUUUUUUUUUUUUUUUAAAAACCCAUUCUUUUUGUUAUACUGUGUAGGAUACACAUAAGGCCAAAUCUCUG